ACGAACGCUGGCGGCGUGCUUAACACAUGCAAGUCGCACGGAAAGGCCCUGCUUUUGUGGGGUGCUCGAGUGGCGAACGGGUGAGUAACACGUGAGUAACCUGCCCUUGACUUUGGGAUAACUUCAGGAAACUGGGGCUAAUACCGGAUAGGAGCUCCUGCUGCAUGGUGGGGGUUGGAAAGUUUCGGCGGUUGGGGAUGGACUCGCGGCUUAUCAGCUUGUUGGUGGGGUAGUGGCUUACCAAGGCUUUGACGGGUAGCCGGCCUGAGAGGGUGACCGGCCACAUUGGGACUGAGAUACGGCCCAGACUCCUACGGGAGGCAGCAGUGGGGAAUAUUGCAAAAUGGGCGGAAGCCUGAUGCAGCAACGCCGCGUGCGGGAUGACGGCCUUCGGGUUGUAAACCGCUUUCGCCUGUGACGAAGCGUGAGUGACGGUAAUGGGUAAAGAAGCACCGGCUAACUACGUG
rnacentral:rRNA from 1 species